UAGUAACUUGUGAUUUAUUUCAGAAACCACCCACUGCUGCCAGUGCUGCCAAUGCAAGUGUCAUGGGACGAUAACCAGCGCGAAACUGCCACAUCGAUUCUCGGCUGUACAAUACACACAACAAUGGUAAUGCCCCCAUAACUAGCCACACAGGAAAGAUGCCUCACCUAGCAACACGCCUUUAAGCACCAACGAGAUCCAGACAAGGGCAGCUGACUCCAACACCGCAACGACGCCAUCAGCAUGAAGAACACAAAAGACCUGCCAGCCACUCCCCAAGAGGAGCUGUAACCCGUAAUGUGUAAUAAACUCUCCCCACCCCCA